GACGAACGCUGGCGGCGUGCUUAACACAUGCAAGUCGAGCGGUAAGGCCCUUUCGGGGGUACACGAGCGGCGAACGGGUGAGUAACACGUGGGUGACCUGCCCUCAGCUCUGGGAUAAGCCUGGGAAACCGGGUCUAAUACCGGAUAUGACUCCAUGACACAUGUUGUGGGGUGGAAAGCCUUGUGCGGCUGAGGAUGGGCCCGCGGCCUAUCAGCUUGUUGGUGGGGUGAUGGCCUACCAAGGCGACGACGGGUAGCCGGCCUGAGAGGGCGACCGGCCACACUGGGACUGAGACACGGCCCAGACUCCUACGGGAGGCAGCAGUGGGGAAUCUUGCGCAAUGGGCGAAAGCCUGACGCAGCGACGCCGCGUGAGGGAUGACGGCCUGGUU
rnacentral:rRNA from 1 species